UGGGGAAUAUUGCACAAUGGGCGCAAGCCUGAUGCAGCCAUGCCGCGUGUAUGAAGAAGGCCUUCGGGUUGUAAAGUACUUUCAGCGGGGAGGAAGGUGUUGUGGUUAAUAACCACAGCAAUUGACGUUACCCGCAGAAGAAGCACCGGCUAACUCCGUGCCAGCAGCCGCGGUAAUACGGAGGGUGCAAGCGUUAAUCGGAAUUACUGGGCGUAAAGCGCACGCAGGCGGUCUGUCAAGUCGGAUGUGAAAUCCCCGGGCUCAACCUGGGAACUGCAUCCGAAACUGGCAGGCGUGAGUCUUGUAGAGGGGGGUAGAAUUCCAGGUGUAGCGGUGAAAUGCGUAGAGAUCUGGAGGAAUACCGGUGGCGAAGGCGGCCCCCUGGACAAAGACUGACGCUCAGGUGCGAAAGCGUGGGGAGCAAACA
rnacentral:rRNA from 1 species